GGACUACUGGGGUUUCUAAUCCCGUUUGCUCCCCUGGCUUUCGCACAUCAGCGUCAGAAGUCCACCAGUGCACCGCUUUCGCCGCCGGCGUUCCUCCCGAUAUCAACGCAUUUCACCGCUCCACCGGGAAUUCCAUGCACCCCUUGGACCCUCAAGCAACGCAGUAUCGGGCGCAGUUCCUCGGUUAGGCCGAGGGAUUUCACACCCGACUUACGCCGCCGCCUACGUGCGCUUUAUGCCCAGUGAUUCCGAACAACGCUCGCCACCUUCGUCUUACCGCGGCUGCUGGCAC
rnacentral:rRNA from 2 species